rnacentral:misc_RNA from 1 species
UCCGAGUUGACCCCGGCAGUCUCCCAUGAGUCUCCGCCAUAACGCGCUGGCAACAUGGAACGAGGGUUGCGCUCGUUGCGGGACUUAACCCAACAUCUCACGACACGAGCUGACGACAACCAUGCACCACCUGUGAACCGGCCCCAAAGGGGAAACCACAUUUCUGCGGCGAUCCGGCCCAUGUCAAGCCUUGGUAAGGUGGGGAUGACGUUAGAGAGUACGUCC